UGUCUGUCCUAUAGCAGGUCGCGUUUUGAAGUGUCUGUCCUAUAGCAGGUCGCGUUUUGAAGUGUCAGUCCUAUAGCAGGUCGCGUUUUGAAGUGUCUGUCCAAUAGCAGGCCACGUUUUGAAGUGUCAGUCCUAUAGCAGGCCACGUUUUGAAGUGUCUGUCCUAUAGCAGGUCGCGUUUUGAAGUGUCUGUCCUAUAGCAGGUCGCGUUUUGAAGUGUCAGUCCUAUAGCAGGUCGCGUUUUGAAGUGUCUGUCCAAUAGCAGGCCACGUUUUGAAGUGUCAGUCCUAUAGCAGGCCACGUUUUGAAGUGUCUGUCCUAUAGCAGGUCGCGUUUUGAAGUGUCUGUCCUAUAGCAGGUCGCGUUUUGAAGUGUCUGUCCAAUAGCAGGCCACGUUUUGAAGUGUCUGUCCUAUAGCAGGCCACGUUUUGAAGUGUCUGUCCAAUAGCGGCCUUUUUCCAAACUGGGUCCUGGGGAUCCCAAGGGUUGAACGUUUAGUUUUUUUGCCCCCAGCGCUACACAGCUGACUUAAAAUAAUAAAUUCAUCAUCAAGCUCUUAUUAUUUGAGGGGGGGAAAAACUAAAUGUUAAUCUCCUCCCCAGUCCCACUCGUGCUUAGGUGUUUCUGAGUGUACUGAUAUAUAAAAGUAGGACACAUGACAUCACGGACACUUUUUUUUUUUUCUAAAACAAUUUAUAUGCAGAAUUGUGUCUAUUGUUGCCCUCUUAUUGGCUAGAAUGGACCCACCCACCCACCAUCCUGUCUCAGCCUCCAGUAUUUAUGCUGCAGUAGUUUAUGUGUCGGGGGGCUAGGGUCAGUUUGUUAUAUCUGGAGUACUUAUCCUGUCCUAUUCG